rnacentral:rRNA from 1 species
UACAGAGGUCCCAAGCGUUGUUCGGAUUCACUGGGCGUAAAGGGCGCGUAGGCGGCUGUUCAAGUCGGGGGUGAAAGCCUGUGGCUCAACCGCAGAAUUGCCUUCGAUACUGGACGGCUCGAGACCGGAAGAGGUCAGUGGAACUGCGAGUGUAGAGGUGAAAUUCGUAGAUAUUCGCAAGAACACCAGUGGCGAAGGCGGCUGACUGGUCCGGUUCUGACGCUGAGGCGCGAAAGCGUGGGGAGCAAACAGG